rnacentral:lncRNA from 1 species
UUUUUUUUUUUUUUUUUUUUUUUUUGUCUUUUUGCCAUUUCUCAGGCCUACUCCGCAGCAUAUGGAGGUUCCCAGGUGUGGCCCUAAAAAAAAGUAAAAGAAAAAUAAUAUUGGGGAGAAUGUCAAUCUGUACAAGAAUUUCCUCAGGUAAUUAUAGUAGUCCUCAACGACUGUGUUGAAUAUUGACCAAAAACGUACCUUUGACUUUCUUUUUUUAUUUUAAAUCAUUUUCAUUUUUUUCAUUAUACCUGGUUUACAAUGUUCUAUCAAUUUUCUACUGUACAGCGAGGCGACCCAGUCACACAUACGUAUAUAUGUUCUUUUUCUCACAUUAUCAUGCUCCAUCAUAAGUGACUAUAGUUCCCAGUGCUAUACAGAAGGAUCCUGUUGAUUUUCAAAACACCUUAUGUUUUGUUUCCACAGGUCCAUUCGCCAAAGAAAAAAAGAAAAAUUCCAUUCUACAAAUGAAAGAAAUGGCAUGAAAAUGAAAAAACACCUGUCACAAAACAGGUUUUGGAGAUCAGGAGGUGAAAGGUAGGGACUGAGGGCCCAAGCAGUGGAGGCAUGCCUCACAGGACAGAUACGCCAGUGGAAAAGCCUUGCUGCCCAAUGGAUUUCAGUAAUUUCCUUGCUCCCUAAGACCAGCUUACCACCAUAACUAUUUCACCUUCAUUUAAAGUGUUCAAAAAUGAUUCUCUAUGAAAAGAGAAGCCAGGGAUGCCUUUACAUUUCAGAUAUGCAUACAAAAUAUGAGGCAGGGUAUAAUAGUGAUCAUUGACUUGCCCACUGUGUGUAAGUAUCCUAAAAUAUCAAAUUUGAAAAGCAGAUGUUGGCUUGAUAAAGACAAUUACUUCAGCCUCUUGAAAAACAACAGAAUUUGUUAAAUGCCCUUACACAGGACCUGUUAAAGUGAAUUCAGGGGAGUUCCCAUUGUGGCUCAACGGAAACGAAUUCCACUAGUAUCCAUGAGGAUGCAGGUUCGAUUCCCGUCUUCGAUGAGUGGGUUAAGGAUCCAGUGUUGACGUGAGCUAUGGUGUAGGUCACAGAAAAGUCUCAGACCCCGAGUUGCUGUGGCUGUGGUGUAGGUCAGCAGCUGUCACUCUGAUUUGACCCUUAGCCUGGGAACUUCCAUAUGCCUAGAGAGCGGCCCUAAAAAAAGUAACAACAACAAAAAAAAUCUUUAGUGUGAACAUUCAUUUUCACAACUAUGUGACCCUAAACUCAUAUGCCCAAUCAUGAACAAGUACAUACAUUUGUAGUAGCUUCCUGGCUCCCAAAUACCAAGUCCCUAAGCCAUGACAGCAAUUGAUCACUCAUUUUGCCUUCAGCAGUACAAAAACUAUCAAAACAGUAACAUAGAAAAACUAUGCAUUUCCUUCCAUAUCCUCUGUAGUCCCUGCACCUCUGCAUGUUCUUAUAACUGUUUUUUGUUUGUUUGUUUUCUUUUUUCUGACUAAAUGACCUAACAUUGACUGAAGGUAGGGAAUACAAAAAAGAAUUAUAAAAGAACAAUGAUUUAAAAUGAGGAUGUUCUGAGGUCCCACUGUGGCUCAGCAGGUUAAGAAUCAGGCUUUGCCUCUGCAGGGGCUCCAGUCACUGCUGAGGGAUGGGUCUGAUCCCCUGCCCCCAAACAGUGGGUUAUGAUCCAGAGUUGCUUAUGCUGUGGCGUAAAUCGAAGCUAUGGCUUGGAUUAAAUCCCUGGCCCAAUAAAGUCCACAUGCUACAAGUCCAGCAAAAAAAAAAAAAAAAAAAAA